AGCACGUUCACGUCCAUGUACUUCCCAGGAAGGCUGGAGACUUUCACAGGAAUGACAGCAUCUAUGAUGAGCUCCAGAAACAUGACAAAGAGGAGGAGGACUCCCCGGCCUUUUGGAGAUCAGAGGAGGAAAUGGCAGCAGAGGCUGCAGCUCUACGGGUCUACUUUCAGUGAUUCAGAUUCUGAAUUCCAACAGAAUGACUGAUGCCAACCAGUCUGAAGACACCCAUGGAGGAACUGAAUCAGCAUGAGAACACA